rnacentral:sRNA from 1 species
ACGCCAACUUGCACGCAUCGUACAUUUCCUUUAAUAGCUGUGGGUAUAACUUUUGCCAACGGAGGCUCGUGCUAUUUCGCAGAAUUUCACACAUUAAUCUGAUUGCAAAACUAUUGUCAAUUCUAAUGCAAUUAAAUUUAACGAUACAGACGGCGGCCUGGCAAUUAAAGUAAAAGCAAAAGUUUUUCUCAAUCAACGUCAGCUGGACUUCACACAAAAAAAAAA